GACGAACGCUGGCGGCGUGCUUAACACAUGCAAGUCGAACGGUGAAGCUCCAGCUUGCUGGAGUGGAUCAGGGGCGAACGGGUGAGUAACACGUGAGCAACCUGCCCCUGACUCUGGAAUAAGCGCUGGAAACGGCGUCUAAUACUGGAUACGAGAAGGGUCCGCAUGGGCACUUUCUGGAAAGUUUUUCGGUUGGGGAUGGGCUCGCGGCCUAUCAGCUUGUUGGUGAGGUAAUGGCUCACCAAGGCGACGACGGGUAGCCGGCCUGAGAGGGCGACCGGCCACACUGGGACUGAGACACGGCCCAGACUCCUACGGGAGGCAGCAGUGGGGAAUAUUGCACAAUGGGCGAAAGCCUGAUGCAGCGACGCCGCGUGAGGGAUGACGGCCUUCGGGUUGUAAACCUCUUUCAGCAGGGAAGAAGCGAAAGUGACGGUACCUGCAGAAGAGGCACCGGCUAACUACGUG
rnacentral:rRNA from 1 species